UACGAAGGGUGCAAGCGUUACUCGGAAUUACUGGGCGUAAAGCGUGCGUAGGUGGUUUGUUAAGUCUGUUGUGAAAGCCCCCGGCUCAACUGGGGAGGGUCACGCGAUACUGUUCGACUCGAAGGCAGGAGAGGGAGGCAGAAUUCCCGGUGUAGUGGUGAAAUGCGUAGAUAUCGGGAGGAAUACCAGUGGCGAAGGCGGCUUCCUGGCCUGUUCUUGACGCUGAGGCGCGAAAGCUAGGGUAGCAAACGGG
rnacentral:rRNA from 1 species